rnacentral:rRNA from 1 species
GACGGAGGAUGCAAGCGUUAUCCGGAAUUAUUGGGCGUAAAGCGUCCGCAGGUGGACAUACAAGUCUGCUGUCAAAGUGCAGAGCUUAACUCUGUAAAGGCGGUGGAAACUGUAGGUCUUGAGUAUGGGAGGGGUAGAGGGAAUUCCCGGUGUAGCGGUGAAAUGCGUAGAUAUCGGGAAGAACACCAGUGGCGAAAGCGCUCUACUGGGCCAUAACUGACACUGAGGGACGAAAGCUAGGGGAGCGAAAGGG